rnacentral:rRNA from 1 species
AAAUGACUCUCGGCAACGGAUAUCCCGGCUCUCGCAUCGAUGAAGAACGUAGCGAAAUGCGAUACUUGGUGUGAAUUGCAGAAUCCCGUGAACCAUUGAGUCUUUGAACGCAAGUUGCGCCCGAAGCCACUAGGCUAAGGGCACGUCUGCCUGGGUCAGUCACGC